UACGUAGGUGGCAAGCGUUGUCCGGAAUUACUGGGCGUAAAGGGCUCGUAGGCGGCCAACUAAGUCAGACGUGAAAUCCCCAGGCUCAACCUGGGAACUGCGUCUGAUACUGGAUGGCUUGAAUCCGGGAGAGGGAAGCGGAAUUCCCGGUGUAGUGGUGAAAUGCGUAGAUAUCGGGAGGAACACCAGUGGCGAAGGCGGCUUUCUUGGUCCGUUCUUGACGCUGAGGCGCGAAAGCUAGGGUAGCAAACGGG
rnacentral:rRNA from 1 species